rnacentral:lncRNA from 1 species
AAGAAAAAGGAAACUAAACAUUCACAAGUAAUAUGAUUCAUUUUAGAUCAUAUACAUUGCAUCCAUCUAAUAAUUUAUCGAAUUCUUACAUUCAUUACAUCAUUUCAUCAUUUCUUUCUUACAACACAAUUACCUCAAAAUAAGCUUUACAUUCUUUCUUUAUAUCACUAAUCAUCAAAUACAAAAGAUGAUCAUAAGGUACUUUACUACAA